rnacentral:rRNA from 1 species
UACGUAGGGGGCAAGCGUUGUCCGGAUUUAUUGGGCGUAAAGAGCGUGUAGGCGGUUAGGUAGGUCCGUUGUGAAAACUCGAGGCUCAACCUCGAGACGCCGAUGGAAACCAUCUAACUAGAGUCCGGAAGAGGAGAGUGGAAUUCCUGGUGUAGCGGUGAAAUGCGCAGAUAUCAGGAAGAACACCCGUGGCUAAGGCGGCUCUCUAGUACGGUACUGACGCUGAGACGCGAAAGCGUGGGGGAGCGAACAGG